GGGUAGUACAUCAAGUUUGGUAUGUGUCUUAAUGUUCUUGCCAUGGUACUACCCUCUACU
rnacentral:misc_RNA from 1 species